UACGGGGGGGAGCAAGCGUUGUUCGGAUUUACUGGGCGUAAAGGGCGCGUAGGCGGCCAGCACAAGUCAGUUGUGAAAUCUCCGAGCUUAACUCGGAACGGUCAACUGAUACUGUGCGGCUAGAGUGCGGAAGGGGCAACUGGAAUUCUUGGUGUAGCGGUGAAAUGCGUAGAUAUCAAGAGGAACACCUGCGGCGAAGGCGGGUUGCUGGGCCGACACUGACGCUGAGGCGCGAAAGCCAGGGGAGCGAACGGG
rnacentral:rRNA from 1 species